rnacentral:lncRNA from 1 species
ACGUAUUUAUUCUAAUACCACUCUAGAUGUUUCUGUGAAGGUGUUUUUUUUUUUUUUUUUUUUUUUUUUUUUUUUUGGUUGGGAUUAAUAUUUAAAUCAGGAGACUGUCGAGUAAAGCAGACGACCCUCCAUAGUGUGGGUGGGCCUCGUCCAAUCAGUUGACGGAGCAGGAAGGUGCUCUGCCAACAGACAGAGUAUGGGUGGACCACAGCUCUUCCCUGGGACUCCGCCCUGCAGGUCAUGAACUUGCCAGCCCCACAAUCAUGUGAGCCGAUUCCUCAACAUAAAUCUCUCUUUAUAGACAUACACAUCCUGUUGGUUCUAUGGCCCAAAUGAAAUGUCACCCUGUUUGUUAAAUCUUUCCAGCUCCACAUUUGUCCUUCACCACCAGCUUCUCUUGUAACAUUUCCUGCAUCCCACUGUUCAGGACUCAUGAUUCACACUUACUUAAAGUAAACCUGUGAGUAACUUGGGGACCCGGUCUUAUCCAUCAUGGAAGUGGCUGAGACUAGCAUUGGCAGGUCCUAACACAGAAGCUUAGUAAAUAUUCAAUGAGAGAAUGAAAAAGAUGGAUGGAUAAAGAAUGCUUUGCAGUUACAGUUUUCAUAGUGAUUGUGAUGCCUUAUGCGUGGCGGACAGUAUGGAUGUAUCCAUAACAUUAGUGCUGAUACCACAGGCUCUUAUUCACCAAGGGACUCGCAGCCAAACCCUAGUCUGGGCUCUAAAAAUACCACAGAGCCUGAAAGAGCCCACACAAAUUUGUUUUUAUUAAAUUAAGGAGUUCUGCCAAAGAUUCCUAGAACCAGCGAUGUCUCCAGUUACCUCCUCCACCAUAACCCCCGCUCCCCAACCCUGAGCCAUCCUGAGCAUCAAGACAGUGCAGGGUUUGUGCCCAGGCAGAGGGAGACAGGGCAGGAACGCAGUAGCAGGGGCAGAGGUGGCGGGGCCGUUUAUGGAGGCCCUGAGGUCACCAUCGGCACCUGUCAGACGCAGCAGCCUGGCCUUCCAGCUCGCUGUGAAUCGCAAGCUCCCAUCUGGGAAACCUGAGUUUCCUGAGAACUGCUUACAAUGUGAUGUGUUUUGAAAUGACCACGUGGGCUAAUCAAGCCCCAAACAGGCCUUGGAGGAGGCUCGGGGGGAAUGUAACAGGCGAGGAGAAAACAAGGUAAUAAAUCACACAUUUUUGACACCAUAAGGAUGAGAGAACUGACUAAAGUGUAUUUGUGCCUUCCAACAAAAGAUGAGAGCAGCUGGAGCAAAGCCCCAUCACUCUCCAGGUGAUUUGCAGAUGCCGAGGGGGACUUUCCCUGGGGGUCAUUUCAUGUCGCUGCCUUCUGCCUCCCUCAAAAGGGAGUCUGCGUGUCCAGAGUGCCUCUGCCCAGCCGUCAGAAGCCUGGGUCGGUUUUGCAUACUUUUCUCUCCUGGUCUUUCCUCGGGUACACGCUCUAUCAGAUUUCUUUCUACCCAAACCGAUUUUUUGAUACUUGUAGUCAGUUGGAGAUUAGUAGGGGAGGUUGACCCUAGGAGAUGAACAAGCAAAUAAACCCAACCCCACCCUGCCCGGCUGCCAGAGACUUCUCUGCAGGUGGGUACAGAUAGUCAAACCCGAUGUCAGUGUCUCUACUUGGUGAUCCUGUGAGCACCACCCUAUGAAGAGCAGGGAAAUGGGUGGGGGCUUGAGGGCUGCACAAAGUGAACCCCUUAGGCCGCUGGGGCUGGGGAUGGAUAGAUGCUGCUGCCCAUUUGAUCUCUUCAGCUCCCUCCUGGGUGCGCUGCCGCUCUCAGCAGCGUCACCAGUCCGGAGGGAUAUAGGGCACUUAUUUUUGGAAUCUUGCUCCAAAUACUCCACCAAAGAGAUCAUCCAGAUGGCGGGGGCUGAACCCCCCCACCCCUGCGAAAUCUCCCUGAGCCCAGCCAGGCGUGUGCGUUGACCCCGCUGUGUGCCUCCCUGCCCGCCUGCCUGUCUCUCACCCCUCCUCCCUGCAAAACGCAAGGCCAAGCUUGGCUCGAGGAAUUUCUGUAACUGCUCAAAAGAAAACCUUUGCUCAUUGCCUUGGAGGGACAUGCAGUGGAGAUGAAGCCCUUGGCCAAGGCUGGCGCUUGCUCCCUGGAGCAGGUGUGUCCUGCGUUCAGCCCAGAGCCAUGCAGCCCAGCUCCACCAGCCUCCAGCCAACGUUCUCUCUUCUCCUGCUCUGGUCUCCCCUGUGCCCAGAGCCACAAUCCCCAGAGCAUUUUCAGGUUGGAUUCCACCUGUGCUCUCAAAGGAAGGCAUGGGAACCUCCAUGAAGGGUCUGUGAGUCACAGCAGUAUUGCCUCUGAAGGAUUUUACUAAUGACUGAGACAAUGGUACAAUAGUAGCCUAUGCUACAUGUGAAUAUAACAACCCUAUUGAAGAACAGAGGAGGAAAUCAAACCAGCCUGGAGCUAAGUGGUCAAUAGAAUCCAUUACCUAAAAUGCUGAGGCUUGAGGGAACUGCAUUCCAUUCCCGGAGACAAACCAUGAUGUCUAGUCAUCAGCUCAUGGUCCUUCUUGCUUCAUCUGCCUCCCUCCCAUUUUCCUACCCUAUCCUCUGUGGAAAAAUUUAGUUUUAGAGCAAAAAAGUAGCAGAGAGAAGGCCUUUGGUGUUUUCCAUCCAUUCUGCCAACCUUGAAGUUGACCUCAAGGCACUAAGCUCCCAGACCAGCCAGGUGGGCUGGCCAACGGGCUCACGCACAGACCUGAGGGCACAGACCCCGGACCUCAGGAAAAUGAAUUCCUCCAUUCAUUGCACCCCACAGUGAUGUUAUCAAGGAAACACACUCUCAUUUUCCCCUGCAGCAUCCAUCUCUGUCCUGCUACCUUUGCUCUUUGAUCCUCCUGGCAAGAGUGGCAGAGUCCAGGACCAGCUCAAAGGAAAGGACUGGCCUCGUCCCUUAUCACAGAGUCACAACCGAGAUGUGCCACCCAGCCCACCACUCCGCCUUUGGGUCAGAAGCCCUCCUGCUUCGAAAGAAAUCUCAUAGGGAGAUGUAUUUCAACACCUAGUGACUCCCAGGAAAUUCCGAUGCUUAGAGUCAAGCUUCCUUACUCUGUUUCAUAGCUUCCUUUUCAUCUGGUCCUUAUGCUCUUAGAGAAAAGCCGGAUACUCAACUUGCAGAGGAAUCUUCCUCCUCCGACAAGUCACAGCUGCUGAGCCUUUUGUGUUAUUUCUCCCGAUCCUUUUUUAGGAAUGGUUGCUGUUAUGAAUCAGCUGGCCAGGCACCCUCGUAAAUGUCACUGAAUCCUCUCCAGACGGUCUGCAUCCCUUUUAAGAUGUCAAGCCCUAAACUGAGAAAGAUGCUCCAAUAGUCACCGAGAAUGGAAACCCAUAAAAACACUUACAUUCUUUUGUUUAUUUAUUUAUUUGCUUUUUUAGGGCUGCAUCUGUGGCAUGUGGAGGUUCCCAGGCUAGGGGUCGAAUCAGAGCUGCAGCUGCUGGCCUACACCACAUUCACAGCAAUGCAGGAUCCGAGACAAGUCUGCAAACUACACUGCAGCUCAUGGCAACACCGGAUCCUUAACCCACUGAAUGAGGCCAGGGAUCAAACCUGUGUCCUCAUGGAUACUAGUUGGGUUCAUUUCUGCUAAGCCACAACGGGAACUCCCUCAUUCUUUGAUUUAAGAGCAUACAGAUUAUCUCUUUCUGUGAAGAUCAACUUGCUUUUAAAAAAUUGGACAGAUAUCCUAGAAAAGAGGAAGAAGUGCUUAUUUUGGUACCUUGCAGCCUGUUUAGAAAAAGAAGGCCACACAGCACCUUCAGAGGUUCCAAGUAUUUAGUGACAAAAACAGGUCUACUUCAGGGACUCCUCGGCUCACUACCACAUCUCAGAUCUGAGAAUUACCUAGCACCGGGUUGAACCCCUUUAGGUCAUGGGCUGGGCAGGCAGUGGGCAGCCCCUCACCUUGGGCCCCUGUGGCCUGAGAUGCCCGAGGACAACAUGCAAAUGUGUGGGCCUGGCUGCUCCCAGGAAACUAUUUACAGACACUGAAGAUUUCAAGUUUAGUGCCCAUCAUGGAUCAGUGGUUAACGAACUGGACUAGCAUCCAUGAGGAUGUGGGUUCAAUCCCUGGCCUUGCUUGGUGGGUUAAGGAUCCGGUGUUGCUAUGAACUGUGGUGUAGGUAGAAGACACAGCUUGGAUCCCAAAUGGCUGUGGCUGUGGCGUAGGUUGGCAGCUACAGCUCAGAUCUGACCCCUAGCCUGGGAACCUCCAUAUGCCGGGGGUGUGGCCCUGAAAAGACAAAAGACAAAACAGAAAAUGUAAAAGCCAUUCUUCUCUCACAGGCCCUACAAAGCCAGGUGGCCAGCUUGGCUUUGGCUUGUGGGGCCUGGUUUCCUUCCCCGUGAUCUGGAAUCUUCUUUCAGCGAGCCCUAAAAGGAAGGACGAGAUGGUUGGUACUGCAACAACUUGGGAAAACAGGAAUGCCAUCUUCAUCUGCUUUGUGCUGAGAACUAUGUAGAGACCCUAAAAGCUAUGUAGAGAGUCUAACAGGACAGAACCGGGAGGGACCUGUGCCAUCUCUACCUGGUCAGGAACCUCAUCCCCGGAGGUCCAGGGUCCUUUUAUAUGAAUGUCCACAGUACUUUGAGGAUCCAGAAUGAAGACUCAUACGUGGCUAAAAAUUUUUAUUUAUCAAUUUUGUGACACUGUUGACAAGAAAUCUCAUACAAUUUGUAAUUGGUAAAUAUUAUUACUUAUACAACUGAUUGAUGAAAAGCAUUGGAAAAGCUCUGGAAGCUCUCGGCCUUGUGGUAUUGAUGCAGAGCCCCCCAGCCUGUCACUGGCUAAGGGAUCUCUCUGCGGGUCUGUGUGAGCCAGGCCCCACCCGACAUGAUGGCCCAGGACCCAGCCCCGCCUGUCUGAAGUUGAGCCUGGCACAUUUCCUCUGAGGAUGAGGCGCUGGAAUCCGUUGGCUGUUCUGUGCCUUCUUUCCUGCCAGGCUGUCUGACAAUUUACUGACAGCCUCUCGGGGCUUUAAAACGUGACUGCGAAUAACAGUAUGUGAUGGGCUGUAAAUAAGCUUGUAUCACUUAAUCUCUCAAUUUGCAGUUCAGAGCAAACCAUCAAGCUAUUUCGUUCUAGGAAAAGCGAGGGACUUUGCUGCAGUGGAGCCGGCUGAUACUUCGUGUGCGAAUUUUGUAAAUGUUGACACUGAAUGCUGAGCCCCUAGACGGGUCUUUGAAAACAGACGGAACUUCAGUAGCCUGUUUUCUCACAGUCAACAGUAGUCUCAGAACACUACGUGUGUGUCAGACAAGAGCCGUGCAGAAUGGAGUGCCCUGCACGUUGGGUUGAAAUAAAUCAUCUUUAGUUAUCCCUGGUCCAGGUCCUCAUCUCAUGCUUAGAAAGUCACAUGUUUGGUUAACACGGAAUAUUUCUAGGUUCAAAAGUUGAGCGAUUUCAUAAU